GUUUGAUCCUGGCUCAGGAUGAACGCUAGCGGUAGGCUUAACACAUGCAAGUCGAGGGGUAACAGGUGUAGCAAUACAUGCUAACGACCGGCGCACGGGUGAGUAACACGUAUGCAACCUACCUUUAACUGGGGAAUAGCUCAGAGAAAUCUGAAUUAAUACCUCAUAACAUUGCGAAAUGGCAUCUUUUUGCAAUUAAAGCUCCGGCGGUUAAAGAUGGACAUGCGUAGCAUUAGCUAGUUGGUGAGGUAACGGCUCACCAAGGCUACGAUGCUUAGGGGGUCUGAGAGGAUGAUCCCCCACACUGGUACUGAGACACGGACCAGACUCCUACGGGAGGCAGCAGUGAGGAAUAUUGGUCAAUGGACGCAAGUCUGAACCAGCCAUACCGCGUGAAGGAUGAAUGUCCUAUGGAUUGUAAACUUCUUUUGUACGGGAAGAAACCCUUGAACGUGUUCGAGGCUGACGGUACUGUACGAAUAAGGAUCGGCUAACUCCGUGCCAGCAGCCGCGGUAAUACGGAGGAUCCAAGCGUUAUCCGGAUUCAUUGGGUUUAAAGGGUGCGUAGGCGGGGUUAUAAGUCAGUGGUGAAAUCCUGCGGCUUAACUGUAGAAUUGCCAUUGAAACUAUAACCCUUGAGUGCAGUUGAGGUGGGCGGAACGUGUCAAGUAGCGGUGAAAUGCUUAGAUAUGACACAGAACGCCAAUUGCGAAGGCAGCUCGCUAAACUGUAACUGACGCUGAGGCACGAAAGCGUGGGGAUCAAACAGGAUUAGAUACCCUGGUAGUCCACGCUGUAAACGAUGAUUACUCGAUGUGUGCGAUACAUUGUACGCGUCUAAGCGAAAGCAUUAAGUAAUCCACCUGGGGAGUACGGUCGCAAGAUUGAAACUCAAAGGAAUUGACGGGGGCCCGCACAGGCGGAGGAACAUGUGGUUUAAUUCGAUGAUACGCGAGGAACCUUACCUGGGCUUGAAAGUUAGCGACGUUCCGUGAAAGCGGAAUUCCCUUCGGGGCGCGAAACUAGGUGCUGCAUGGCUGUCGUCAGCUCGUGCCGUGAGGUGUCGGGUUAAGUCCCAUAACGAGCGCAACCCCUAUCAUUAGUUGCCAGCGGGUAAUGCCGGGGACUCUAAUGAAACUGCCAGCGUAAGCUGUGAGGAAGGUGGGGAUGACGUCAAGUCAGCACGGCCCUUACGUCCAGGGCUACACACGUGUUACAAUGGCCGGUACAAAGGGCAGCUACUGGGUGACCAGAUGCUAAUCUCUAAAGCCGGUCUUAGUUCGGAUCGAAGUCUGCAAUUCGACUUCGUGAAGCUGGAUUCGCUAGUAAUCGUGCAUCAGCUACGGCACGGUGAAUACGUUCCCGGGCCUUGUACACACCGCCCGUCAAGCCAUGGAAGCUGGGGGUACCUGAAGUUCGUAACCGCAAGGAGCGACCUAGGGUAAAACCAGUGACUGGGGCUAAGUCGUAACAAGGUA
rnacentral:rRNA from 1 species